rnacentral:rRNA from 1 species
UACGUAGGGUGCGAGCGUUGUCCGGAAUUACUGGGCGUAAAGAGCUCGUAGGCGGUUUGUCGCGUCUGCCGUGAAAGUCCGGGGCUCAACUCCGGAUCUGCGGUGGGUACGGGCAGACUAGAGUGAUGUAGGGGAGACUGGAAUUCCUGGUGUAGCGGUGAAAUGCGCAGAUAUCAGGAGGAACACCGAUGGCGAAGGCAGUGUUCUGGGCCAGUACUGACGCUGAGGAGCGAAAGCGUGGGGAGCAAACAGG